GCGAAAGAAACGGGAGGGGUGAGGGAGAGUGGAAUUGAGACCAGAUUCCCGUCAUGCAUCGAGGAGCGGAGGCGCGCGACGGUACCCAUAAGGCACUGAAAUGUGCAGAGCUCAAGGUGGUAUACAUGGUUCUUCCCCACUCCCUUUUGUGCUUCCAAAAACCCUGUGAUAUAUACAGUAAGUACCUGAGUUAUGAAUGUCCAAGUUAUGAACAACCUGUACUUAAACUGCCAUAAAUCCUAUUAAUUUAAAAAAUUUACUGCAGAAAAUUGUCAUCACCAUGGAAAGGAAGUGAAAGGGGAAAGAGGGAAGCCUCCAAAGCACGCCUUCCUACCCUGCCCAUCCAGAGAGGGAAAUCUCUCUGGUAUUUCCUUGCGACAAAGAGGAGGAACUGGUUGAGCAAAAUUGGCUCCCCAACAGAGACAGUUGCUGAAGGACCUUCACUUGGCACUUUGGUCAGGGACUCAAUGACUUCCUGAUGUUAAUCAAUCUAUGGGGAAUGGUUUCUAAGGGAGCAAUCUCUACCUUAGACCCAAAAUGGUAACCAGUCUCUAUACUGGGUACUGCUAUUGGAUAUUACCAUCUUGGAAGUAAAUUCCACUGAAUUCAGUGGGGUAACUUUUGAGAAGACAUGUACACUUUUGAGAAGACUGACAGGACUGCUUGGUCAUAAAUAGCAUUAUUAGACACAUAACUCUUAUGCCUUUACAGAUGCUUUAGAAAUUUGUUACAGCUCAGUUUUCAUCAGGAUUUAUUCAGUUCACCUUCUGGAUAAAACAGAGUCAAAUCUGUGGUUAGUCCAUACAUUUGGAGAAUUUCAACAAGUUCAAAGUUUGCUUAUACACACAUAUCCCUAUCAGUUAUUAAAAGCCUAGCUUUGUGUAUACCCUCAUACCUCAGUGGCAUUGUGCUUUUGUAAAGAUGUCAGUUCAUAGGGAUCCACAUACAAUCCUUUUGGAAGGUGUACUUUAAUUGCCACCAUGCAACUUCCUAUGGCUUCAUCAGCUGUACCAAGGUUUACCCUAAUCAGGAGUUCUCUAACAUUUAAAAGAAGAAAACAAAAACCUGUUUAAACAGAUUGCUUCUUUUCUUUGGAAAGCAUCUCAAAUGGCUACCAUUCUGUAAUCUACAAUUGUUUUCUAAGAUGGAAAGGCUAUAUGCAGUUACUUCAGUGUAAAUUCCACAAAGAUUCAGCAGAACUCACUUCUGGAAAGACAUGUACUGGAAUCUGGCUGCAAAAGAAUUUUUAUUAGCAUUAUCAUCUUUGUAUUAAUGGAGCUGAACUUGUGAAGAAAUCCUAAUUAAAUUUACAUCAUUUAAUGCAACUGAGUUUCAAUACAACUAGGUAGAUUACUGAGCUGCCUGUAAAUUUCCAUGUUUGAGCAUAGAUUUAGCAAAGACUAGCAUUUCCAUUAAGUUAUUCACCAGUGUUAUCUAUUACAGCAAGCCUAUAUUCAUGCCACUAGUUCAUUUUGCUUAACAUAUUAGUUCAAAGGUUAAGCAAUUACAAAACUUGGAAGAUUCAAGUAUUAUUAAUACACUAGUAACAGAAGCCCUGCCCCAAUAUCUGAUUGUCAUAAACCCACCUGUGGAAACCAUCUUUCAAAAGAUGUUGCAUGAUUUCAGGACAUGUGUUCUGUGCAUCUAAAAGAACAGAAAAGAAACAAUUUUAACACACAAAGGUUGAAUUCUUUUCCAUCCUAAAAAAAGGUGACUCACAGGAAAAGAAAAAUGAAGAAGUUAGCAAUAUUAAGCUUAAUAUAAAGGAAAUUCUCGAAGUCAUGUCAAACAACAGACGUUUACAUCCUGACAUUUGCUUGUGACUGCUUGCCUGAGAUAGUGCAAUAGCAAAUGCAUUGUCUAGUUUGCAUGAUAUGAGAAGUCAUGGUGAUUUUUUAAACCAUUUUCUGCCUGUCAUAUCAUUCAAACCUAGACAUGGUAUUUCAGCAUGGUGUGUUUGGUCUUUGGAAACCAAAAUAAAAAACAAUGGUUUGUUCUAUGGUUUCUGCAUGCCACAAUAGUUUCUCCUGUUGUCUGAUCAUGGUUUCUACAGACCUGAUGUUCAAUUACCACUGAGUCCCCUAGAAAAAGCAGCCGUUCUCAAGAGCCUCUCCAUUCAUCCAUCCAUCCUCUAGUACCUAACUGCCUGGUAACAGAUGUGUUGUUGCUUGCCUGACUCCUACAGGCUGUUCUCUGUUUGCACACCCUCCAUCUUCUCGUCAUCCAGAUGUCCAACUGUUAUUUUCCAGCCGCAGAGAAGCACAAAGUGCUGUCCUAAAGAGCUGGUCUCUCUAUUGCUAUGUGCCUGCUGCACUUUUCACAGAUACCAGUCUGAGUUGUCAUGCCUUUUAUUUUCAUUCCAAAAGUAUUUGGAUACAUGCUAGUGUGGGGAAGAAUGCUGUAAUGGGGGAGAACAAUAAUCAAAUUAUGUGCACAAAUUUUGGGCAGUACAGCUUGCAUAUCAGUGGAAGAUUUUACUAAGGUAUUCUAAGGUAUUCUUGAGAUAACAAUCUGUCUUAUAAUAUAGAACAAUCAAUUUCUAUAUGAAUAUAUCCUUUCAAGAAAGCAAUACACUUCCUUACACUACUGAAAUUAAAAUACACUUUACUAUA